GGGCUUUACUUUCAACAGCACUGCCUGCUCAAUAAGGAAGCUAACUGAAAACUUGGGGGAAUUGAAAACUGUUGAGUGUUUCAAGCACUGAAGCAGAGAAGAAAGUGUGAAAACAACUAUAACCAAGGAUACAAAGGGAAAGAGACCUGCCGACCACUAAGAUGCGAAGACUGGAAGUUUUAGCUAUCUACAGCUUUAAUGGACAAGGACCACCUUAUCCAGCUUCUUGCUAAUAAAGACAUUCAACCAGGAGAGGAAAUGGUCACCAGAGACUACAGACCUCAGGACUUUGAGUCACUGAAGGCCCUGCUGAAAGGUGUCUUCUUAUGUCCUGUUCUCAUUGGAUGAGGGGUAAAGUUAGGAUCAAGCUCUGCCUGAACAAUGAUUGUGUAAAGCCUGAAAGUGGAAUACUCUUCGUAAAUAUGCAAACUUAAAAGGCAACGCAAGUUUCUCGCUGAGGAUAUUAGUUAAAGUUACUCAAACUGUUCACAUAUACUGUAGCUAGGUCCCUGAAAAUUAACACAACUGAAUUAAUGUCAAAGACAUUUGAAAGUAACUAUUGCCCCCUUGAGUAUUGAGAUUUUUUACCACAACAGUAACACAAAAAUGCACAUUACAUACACCGAUCAGCCACAACAUUAAAACCCCCUGCCUAAUAUUGUGUAAGUCCUCCUCGUGCCACCAAAACAGCACCAACCCCUCAUCUCAGAAUAGCAUUCUGAGAUAGUAUUCUUCUCACCACCAUUGUACAGGUUAUCUGAGUUACCGUAGACUUUGCAGGAAAGACACUGUGCCUAAUAAAGAUUGCAUGAUAUUGAACCUCCCCAGCAGGUACUGACUGUCUGUUAGUGUGUUGAAUGAAUUGAAUUUUACAUAGCUUCUACAAAGAAACUGUAUUUCCAUAGGUUAAAGCACAAGACACAUUGUCACGGUAGACCAGUAAACAAAGACCUGUUGGUUCAGAGUUUGUUGAUCCAAACCAAAAGAGGAGGCUGAUGUGGUUUGACCAAAUGGACACUAUCUAAACUGGCGAGCAAU